rnacentral:rRNA from 2 species
CACGUAGGAGGCGAGCGUUAUCCGGAUUUACUGGGUGUAAAGCGCGUGCAGGCGGUUCAGAAAGUUGGAUGUGAAAGCUCCUGGCUUAACUGGGAGAGGUCGUUCAAUACUUCUGGACUCGAGUAUGGGAGAGGGAGGUGGAAUUCCGGGUGUAGUGGUGAAAUGCGUAGAUAUCCGGAGGAACACCAGUGGCGAAAGCGGCCUCCUGGUCCAUUACUGACGCUCAGACGCGAAAGCUAGGGUAGCAAACGGG